UACAGAGGUCUCAAGCGUUGUCCGGAAUCACUGGGCGUAAAGCGCACGUAGGCGGCUUAGCAAGUCGGAUGUGAAAUCCCUCGGCUCAACCAAGGAAGUGCAUCCGAAACUGCUGAGCUUGAGUACGAAAGAGGAUCGCGGAAUUCCCGGUGUAGAGGUGAAAUUCGUAGAUAUCGGGAGGAACACCAGUGGCGAAGGCGGCAUCCUGGACCGAAACUGACGCUGAGGAGCGAAAGCCAGGGGAGCAAACGGG
rnacentral:rRNA from 1 species